rnacentral:tRNA from 1 species
GCGAGAGUGGUGGAACUGGCAGACACGCGAGACUUAGGAUCUCGUGCCGAAAGGCGUGGGGGUUCGACUCCCCCCUCUCGCA